UCCCUGAGUUUUUGACUGAGAAGACUUGACCGACUAGAUCCACUAAUGUGCUUUCUCCUUCUUGCAUCAAUAUAAGCUCCUAGUGAACCCAUAGUAACCUAGGUUGCACCUUCUCCACUCAGAUGCCUCGCCUUACUUGGUCCUUGUGAAAACAAUCAAUGUUGAUAUCAGCUGAAUUUUAUCACACGGAUCAAUAAUGAUAUAAAUUGUACUAUAAAAAACCACUCCCCAGUAUCUGGUGAGACAUAUAGCUUAUGUAAGGACUCGUGUGGGCGUGUGUUUAGUCUCACAUCGGUUAUUUGCUGGGUAGAUCUUCGGUAUCUAUAUAGGAUCAAGGAAUCCAAAUAAUAUUUUCCUGCUAGUCAUUUUGAAUGAGGUUCUGAGUUGUUACAGCCUAUAACUCUCAGGUAGCUUUUUCUGCUUUGGCUUUUUCCAAAUUUCAGUGGUCUUUAUCAUGCUACUGCUCAAUAGUUCCAGCAGCCUGCCAAUUGCACUGCUCUUCUCCUUAUUAUCAGCUUUUCUCGCCCUCUUGUAGUGGCUCCACUGAACAUAACCUAGCAUAAGAAAAACAAAUAUUGUCAAACAUGCACUAAAUAAAAUGGAAUGUUAGAGAUGCACCAAAAUUAUUGUCAUAACCUGAUUUUUACUUGGCCUGCCUUUAAGUUUCUUUGAUGGUGGACAAAGAGACUGAUCAACUGUUGAUGAA
rnacentral:lncRNA from 1 species